GCUUGAUGAUGAAACGUUUGAGGCUGAGCAAAUUGUAGUUGGUCCUUCAUUUGCCCAGGUUGAUGUAAUCAACGUUUCAAGACGGGGCUGAGAGCAGC
ensembl:snoRNA SNORD21 Small nucleolar RNA SNORD21